rnacentral:rRNA from 1 species
CAGUAGCCACGGGAAUACGAAGGGGGCUAGCGUUGUUCGGAAUUACUGGGCGUAAAGCGCACGUAGGCGGAUAUUUAAGUCAGGGGUGAAAUCCCGCAGCUCAACUGCGGAACUGCCUUUGAUACUGGGUAUCUUGAGUAUGGAAGAGGUUAGUGGAAUUGCGAGUGUAGAGGUGAAAUUCGUAGAUAUUCGCAGGAACACCAGUGGCGAAGGCGGCUAACUGGUCCAUAACUGACGCUGAGGUGCGAAAGCGUGGGGAGCAAACAGGAUUAGAGACCCCUGUAGUCCCUGUCUCUUAUAC